rnacentral:lncRNA from 1 species
CACUUCAAAUAUCAAUUAUUAUUUAUUAAAAAAACUCAAUUUUCUAAACUAUUCUGAACAUUGUUGUUUGUACAGACCACAUUCGUAUACAUACAUCAUGAAUCAAAACUUACAGAUCAUCAAACCAAAAUUCACAUCAAACCCAGAACAUUGUUGUUUUUUGGGAAUCCUUAAUUAGCAACGAAACUGUAUCAAGGAUGGGCCUUAAAUGACAACAAAUAAACAAGUUAAUGAGGAUUGUUAAGAGGGAAAGAGAGAUCUGGUCCACCUUGAAGCUGAACAGACCUUCGUGGCGAGGAAUUCCAUUAAAUCAGUUUCUCUCGGUACCAUUAACAACCGCAACUUUGAUCAUCAGAACUCGAUGGUGAUGGAUUUACCAUAAUGGGUGUGCUCUUCUGAGCUAAUCGACUUAUACCCUUCUACAGUUUCACAUAUCCUCUUAUGGGGCUCGCAUUUGCCUAGCACUUGGGUGUGGGUUUGAAAAGUGCCAACCACAUUUGUGGCAAACAUGAACACCAUGAUUCUCAUGAUCUGCCAAAUCAAAAGAAAAAUUAAAAAAAGUCCCAUUAAAAAUUCGAAAAUACAGAGUAAAUAUAUGGACAUGAACAAAACCAAACAAUACCAAAAAGAACAAGAACAAAAAAAAAACCCAAAAAAAUAUCAAAUACCCAUCUAGAAAAAUCAAACACAAACCCGGAGGAGCAAUCUUUAAUUGAAUGUGGGCAUCCAUUUUUGAGAAUCAAAUACAAAGAUGCUCAUAAGAUAGAGAAGAUGAAUGAGAAGAUUUCCUCGGUCUCUACAUCAUCUUCUUCUUCUGGUGUUGUUACCGAAACCCUAAGUUGAAUGAAGAAGAAGCGGCUACGAGGCACACUUGGUCACGAUUUGUAACUACGGAUCCAAGAUUGAGAAUGAGCUUUCCUCGAUUUGCGAUGGCAUUGAAACUUCUCAAUUCCAAGCUCAUAGACGCGACUUCUG